UCUUUAAGAAGUAACUGUCUAAAUAGCUGCAAAACAAAUGACCACAAAGUAAAGGAGUAAGAGAGCAGUAGAAGAUGAUGCCUUUUGAAUACAUGCAAAACCAAACAGGGAACAGCUACCAGCUGUCUUUUGUUCCCUCCAAGGACAAGAACAAAUAAAAACAAAACUCCUGGGAAUAAGGCAAGAAAAGUAAACUACAGUGGACCAUAUGAUUCAAGAUUCUUUAACUUACUACUAACAUGAUGAGUUAGUAUGAUUGAAAAGGAUCUGGCAUCUAGAACAGCUACAGAAGGUCUUGCAUACAGAAUAGCCUAUCUAAGAGCAUCCCUAGAGCCUAUUUCUGAGGAUGGCAGAGAGAAGAAUCUGGUCUAUGGAGGCAUCACUGAGCAAUGAAAUUAACCAAGUGUACAACUCAUUCUAUUUUUGGAAUGUUUGCUCCUUAAUUUCUCCCCUAGUUCUGCAUCACUGUUUUUCUUUUCGCUCUGAACUUUUUGUAGAGUUAGCUAAAAACAAUGUGCCUUUCUACCUGCUUUUUUUUUUUUUU
rnacentral:lncRNA from 10 species